UACGUAGGGUGCAAGCGUUUAAUCGGAAUUACUGGGCGUAAAGCGUGCGCAGGCGGUUCGCUAAGACCGAUGUGAAAUCCCCGGGCUUAACCUGGGAACUGCAUUGGUGACUGGCGGGCUAGAGUAUGGCAGAGGGGGGGUGGAAUUCCGCGUGUAGCAGUGAAAUGCGUAGAGAUGCGGAGGAACACCGAUGGCGAAGGCAGCCCCCUGGGCUAGCACUGACGCUCAGGCACGAAAGCGUGGGGAGCAAACAGG
rnacentral:rRNA from 1 species